AUCUUCCCCAUAUCUUGCAACCGCUCUUACUAAUUUAUAUUGUUUAAUUUUCUUCGCCGAAUUUUCUAAUUACGAUUCCCAAAUUUCUCGCUUUCGGAUCAGUUACUUUCUCUUCCUCCAUCUCUACGCCAUGGCAGAUUUACAAUUUUUACAGUAUUUGUGUCCGCUUUCCUUUCUCGAUCCAUUAUUCAUCUUCACUCUCCUUUCUCCUUCCAUGACAAUUACGGCUGAAGAACAGAACAAGUGUAAUUCCAAUAAGGGUCCCAUGUGAAACAUUUUCAGAAAAAAAAAAAAAAAAACUCUUACACCAUCGUGACAAACCCAAAGACAUGCCAAGUAAGAAAGAUAACCAAGCCAUAUAUACAAGCACAAGAGAUAUAUACCGGUAUGCACUAGAGAAAACCAAGUUUUUCUCGACGAGUUCAUAUAUUCUCAGAAAACAUCACAAAGGAUAUCUACUUCCCUAAUCUGCACAAUCUACUUCCCUAAUACACAUGAGUUUGGUUUCUUUUGAAACUUAUGUGGGAGAACAUAACAGCCAAGCAUGGGACGGCCAUUUGUUGAUAAGUUCUUUGUGAGUUUCUAUUCAGCAUCCUCUUUCUCCAUGUGUAUUUAUUGUCAAGUAUAUUACAUUUAUGUUUGAUGCAUAAGUCAUUAUAAUUAUAGAGAAAACGUAAUGUCUUUAA